rnacentral:rRNA from 1 species
UACGAAGGGGGCUAGCGUUGUUCGGAUUUACUGGGCGUAAAGCGCACGUAGGCGGACUAUUAAGUCCGGGGUGAAAUCCCGGGGCUCAACCCCGGAACUGCCUUUGAUACUGGCAGUCUUGAGUUCGAGAGAGGUGAGUGGAAUUCCGAGUGUAGAGGUGAAAUUCGUAGAUAUUCGGAGGAACACCAGUGGCGAAGGCGGCUCACUGGCUCGAUACUGACGCUGAGGUGCGAAAGCGUGGGGAGCAAACAGG